GUGCACGCUGGCGGUAGGCCUAACACAUGCCAGUCGCACGGCAGCACAGUAAGAGCUUGCUCUUACGGGUGGCGAGUGGCGGACGGGUGAGGAAUACAUCGGAAUCUACUUUUUCGUGGGGGAUAACGUAGGGAAACUUACGCUAAUACCGCAUACGACCUACGGGUGAAAGCAGGGGAUCUUCGGACCUUGCGCGAUUGAAUGAGCCGAUGUCGGAUUAGCUAGUUGGCGGGGUAAAGGCCCACCAAGGCGACGAUCCGUAGCUGGUCUGAGAGGAUGAUCAGCCACGCUGGAACUGAGACACGGUCCAGACUCCUACGGGAGGCAGCAGUGGGGAAUAUUGGACAAAGGGCGCAAGCCUGAUCCAGCCAUACCGCGUGGGUGAAGAAGGCCUUCGGGUUGUAAAGCCCUUUUGUUGGGAAAGAAAAGCAGCAGGUUAAUACCCCGCUGUUCUGACGGUACCCAAAGAAUAAGCACCGGCUAACUUCGUG
rnacentral:rRNA from 1 species